CAGUUCGGAUUGAAGGCUGAAAUUCGCCUUCAUGAAGCCGGAAUUGCUAGUAAUGGCAGGUCAGCAUACUGCCGUGAAUACGUUCCCGGGCCUUGUACACACCGCCCGUCACACCAUGAGAGUUGGGAAUACCCGAAGCCUGUGAGCUAACUUUUAGAGGCAGCAGUCGAAGGUAGAAUCAAUGAUUGGGGUGAAGUCGUAACAAGGUACC
rnacentral:rRNA from 1 species